GAUGAAGAACGCAGCGAAAUGCGAUAAGUAAUGUGAAUUGCAGAAUUCAGUGAAUCAUCGAAUCUUUGAACGCACAUUGCGCCCCCUGGUAUUCCGGGGGGCAUGCCUGUCCGAGCGUCAUUACAACCCUCAAGCUCUGCUUGGUGUUGGGCCCCGCCGCCCCGGCGGGCCCUAAAGUCAGUGGCGGUGCCAUCCGGCUCCGAGCGUAGUAAUUCUUCUCGCUCUGGAGGUCCGGUUGUGUGCUUGCCAUCAACCCCCAAUUUUUUUCAGGUUGACCUCGGAUCAGGUAGGGAUACCCGCUGAACUUAAGCAUAUCAAUAAGCGGAGA
rnacentral:misc_RNA from 1 species